GUUAAACGGCCGCGGUACCCUAACCGUGCGAAGGUAGCGCAAUCACUUGUUCUUUAAAUGAGGACUAGUAUGAAUGGCAUCACGAAGGCUACACUGUCUCCCCCCUCCAAUCAGUGAAACUGAUCUCCCCGUGAAGAAGCGGGGAUAAAACCAUAAGACGAGAAGACCCCAUGGAGCUUAAAACUCAGUUUCACCUGCACACCAAUAUAUCACACCAACCCUGCAGACCUGACUACUAGUUUUCGGUUGGGGUGACCGCGGAGCAAAACAAAACCUCCACGACGAAAGGACAUCUCCCUAAUCCAAGAGCAACAACUCUAAGAAUCAAAAAAUUGACGUUGCUUGAUCCAAAUUUAUUUGAUCAACGAACCAAGUUACCCUGGGGAUAACAGCGCAAUCCAUUUCAAGAGCUCCUAUCGACAAAUGGGUUUACGACCUCGAUGUUGGAUCAGGGUAUCCCAGUGGUGCAGCCGCUACUAAAGGUUCGUUUGUUCAACGAUUAAAACCCUACGUGAUCUGAGUUCAGACCGGA
rnacentral:rRNA from 1 species